GAAGUGGGGCGGGCCUUACCAUGCAAGUCGAGGGGUAACAUUGUGCUUGCACAGAUGACGACCGGCGCACGGGUGCGUAACGCGUAUAGAACCUACCUUUUACAGAGGAACAGCCUUUAGAAAUGAAGAUUAAUGCCUCAUAGUAUUGAGUAAUCGCAUGAUUAUUUAAUUAAAGAUUUAUCGGUAAAAGAUGGCUAUGCGUCCUAUUAGUUAGUUGGUAAGGUAACGGCUUACCAAGACAUCGAUAGGUAGGGGUCCUGAGAGGGAGAUCCCCCACACUGGUACUGAGACACGGACCAGACUCCUACGGGAGGCAGCAGUGAGGAAUAUUGGACAAUGGAGGAGACUCUGAUCCAGCCAUGCCGCGUGUAGGAAGAAUGCCCUAUGGGUUGUAAACUACUUUUAUACAGGAAGAAACACUGGUAUGUAUACCAGCUUGACGGUACUGUAAGAAUAAGGACCGGCUAACUCCGUGCCAGCAGCCGCGGUAAC
rnacentral:rRNA from 1 species